rnacentral:rRNA from 1 species
GAUGAACGCUGGCGGCGUGCCUAAUACAUGCAAGUCGAGCGAACGGACGAGAAGCUUGCUUCUCUGAUGUUAGCGGCGGACGGGUGAGUAACACGUGGAUAACCUACCUAUAAGACUGGGAUAACUUCGGGAAACCGGAGCUAAUACCGGAUAAUAUUUUGAACCGCAUGGUUCAAAAGUGAAAGACGGUCUUGCUGUCACUUAUAGAUGGAUCCGCGCUGCAUUAGCUAGUUGGUAAGGUAACGGCUUACCAAGGCAACGAUGCAUAGCCGACCUGAGAGGGUGAUCGGCCACACUGGAACUGAGACACGGUCCAGACUCCUACGGGAGGCAGCAGUAGGGAAUCUUCCGCAAUGGGCGAAAGCCUGACGGAGCAACGCCGCGUGAGUGAUGAAGGUCUUCGGAUCGUAAAACUCUGUUAUUAGGGAAGAAAAUAUGUGUAAGUAACUGUGCACAUCUUGACGGUAACUAAUCAGAAAGCCACGGCUAACUACGUG